GUUCGGUUCAGUGAAGUUGAACGUGAUGAUUUACGAUGAAGAUCUGAGGCGAAGUUGACGAUGACAUGAGGUUGAAUCGGAGAUGAUGAUGAACGGUGACGUUGUUGUGCCUCUGAACUCGACGACAAAGAACAAUCGAAGAAUCGUUUCAAGAACUCAGGUGAUGUUGUCUUUCCUCUUCUGAAUUCAUCUGCAUCCUUCUGAAAUCAACUCCGUUGCGAUGAUGUCAAAUCCCUUAUUACUGUUGUUGCGAGCGAUAUUGAAGUUUGAAGUGCAGAGAUAAUGAAGAUGAUGAAGCGCGAUUGGUGAAGACGAUAUUGUUGCAUUGGAAGAGAGAUCGAUGGAGGAGAUUGAAGAUGAAACUUCUGAGUUUUCUGGUGAGGAUUGAAUGAAGAUGAGGAUGCGAUGAAGGUGAUGAGAAAGAAGAUUGGAGGUGAUUGAUGAUGAACGAUGAAGAACCAUGAAGCUCCAAGAGUUUGUUACAUUUUGGUUCAAGGUGAGUUAUCUUUUUUCUGUUAUGCUCUUCUUUCAGAUUUUCUCUCUGUUACGUCUGGUCAUUUUCUUCUGCUCUGAAAUUCUGUUAUGACUGUUUGCUCAUUCAAUUGGAGAGCUGAAGAAGAUGAUUAUUCAGGAAGAAGAUUGAGAGAGGUUUGAAGAAUUUUUGUUACAGGGUGUUGCUCAGAGCGAGAGAGAGUCCUCUUCCGUUGAAAGUUUGUUAUGUUUUUUGUUAGAGGCUUUGUGAGUGAAGAGUGUUGACGG